AGCGGAUGGUGGAUGCCAGGCGCCGAGGCACAGGAAGUGCGGAGUCAAUGUGUAACGGGCACAGAGGCUCGGUUUGAGAUGAGAAGGUUCUGGGGAGGAUGGUGUCGGGGCCGGUCGUUAAUGCCACUGAAGAAUGGUCAACACCGAGAGGAAGCCGGGACGGCAAACGCAGGGCUCCCAUCCCGUGUGCCAGCUUCCCGCAGGGGUAACCUCCCGUGGGUUACUCCUGAGGGAUCGUGUGGGGCCACCUGUGAGCCGUGGGUCCCCACUCCACCCAAACGUGUUCCUCCGCGCCCCGGCCCCAGCCCCAGCCCCCACAUUAGUCACUCGCAAAAUCCGUGUCGGCGAGGCUCCCCAGGAAGCUGACGAUAGUGAUCUAAAAACUGAAACAACGCCUUCACGCUGUGGUCCCGGAUUUCAGCGGCUUCUUGGUUUUGUCUGUCCCCAACGCUGAUGACCGGCCUCCUCGGUCGCAUUUCCUUCUGCAGCCAGUGAAGCCGCUCUCGGAGUCCCUAACUCCCAUCGGUAACUGUUACCUCGAGGAACUGAGGGCGCCCAGCUCCACACCUCGAGGGAGCUCCUGGCCCCCCCGGAAUCAGAGGCUUCUCGCCCCCGCCCGUUCUCCCUGGCUCUUCCCAAACCACGUUUCUGACUCAGGGCUGUUCUAGCAAAUCCCACUUCACCCACACCAGCUGUCAUGAAAGCCGCAAGCCCUAGCGCCUUUAUUCACAACAG